GGCCGCGUAGCUCAGCUGGAUAGAGCAGCCGCCUUCUAAGCGGCAGGUCGCUGGUUCGAGCCCAGCCGCGGUCGCCA
rnacentral:tRNA from 17 species